CCCACUUUUAAGCGUUUUAUAUAACAUUUUAUAUAACACAACAUUUCCUAGACCAAGUGAUAAAAGGCCAGCCAAUAUCCAGAGGUUUAUUAGGUGGUUUGACAGAACAGCUUUGUCUAGCAAGGGAUGAUGUUGAUUAGGCAGGGCAAUGAGAUUUUUCUCCCAGGAAUUUGAAAGUGAAAUAAAAAACAGAGUUGAGCAAUUAGCAGAGGGGUUGAAGGUAAAAGGACUGCAGAGAAGGCCAUUUGCAGAGGCCAUUAAUGCCAUAGUCAUAAAGUAUAAAAUGCACAUGUAGAAAGAAAUUCCUCAGAAACAACAGGAGACAGAAGUUAAGUCAUGUUAAUCACAAAAUACCAGAAUACAAACCUUCUCCAUGAGGCCUUGAGGUAGGCCUUUUUCUAAUCCCCUGAGGCACUUGCUCUCCUCAUUCCCAUAUGUUUUUUCACCAUAAAUGUUUUGUUUAUUGACAUAACCUGAAUUCUUUUCAUAGAACCAACAAAGAGGGGCAGGAUGGUCACUUAUGGAGCUGCCUGUAAGGCUGAGAAAGUAACUUAGGCACCCUUAUCAUCUGAUGGAGGACUGCUCCUGUCUCAUGACUGACAAAAGGUGAAAUUAUGCAGAUUUCACAAUAAUCAUUGCAUUCCUGAGGAAAGUCCUGUCUAAAUAGCACCACCUUUUUGAUGGAAAGGAGACACCUGGAGGUUGGCAUGGAUGUGCCUGGCAACAGCAACAUGAGGAAUCCAGGUGGAUCCAGAACAACUGCCAUCCUGAGAGCCUGAAGGAAGAAAGUCAGCCUUAGACUUACUCUUAGUACUUUCCCCUAGUUGAUGCUGUGAGGCCUCACUUUCAAGACAAAUGUACACCUUGAGUCCCUUCUCUUGGUUAACUGAGUCUAGAAGAAAGACGCCAGAAGGAAAGAGUCUCUUAGAGUCCUUGACAGAACAGACUUGCUUUGACCAGUGUUGGGCUCCCACUAGGAACUCAUUCUCUCAGGGAAAAUCUGGUCUAAAAUAAUUAGAAAUAAGAUGGGGAGUGAAAUUCCAAAUAACUCAAGCAGCCUUAUUUGUGAAAUGGUGGACUGUGGUAGAAAGUACUGGGGCAAGAAUUUAGAGCCUAUCUGUGACUAAGAGCAUCUCACUUCACCCCUCUGGGCCUCAGUUUCUUCAUGCCCUCUGCUACCUGCAAGCUAAAGACCCAGGAAAGCUGGUGAUAUCAAUCCUACUCUGAGCCCAAAGGCCUAAGAACUGGGAGCAUUAAUGGGGUAAGUCCUAGUUUAAGGGCAGGAGAAGAUCAAUGCCUCAGCUUAAGUAGUCAGGUAUAGAGAAAUAAUUCAACCUCACUUCACCUUUUUGUCAUAUUUGGGCCCUCAACAGGUUAGAGAAUGCCCACUCACAUUGGGAAGGACAAUCUGCUUUACUUAGUCCACCAAUUCAAAUGCUAAUUUCUUUCAGAAACACCCUCACAGACAUGCCAAGAAAUCAUGUUUAACCAGAUAUCUGAGUAUCCCACACCCCAGUCAAGUCAACGUAUAAUUAACCAUCACACUGCCCAUAGGUAAGAAAUAGUUCAUGGAUUAUUUACUUAUUUAUUACCUCUUUCUAAAAAUGAUCUAAGACAGAUUUAUAUAAUCAUAGUUUUUUGGUUUGAAGAACCUUCCAAAGUUUUUAGAACCAUCACUCAACUGAGAUAUGUAACAUAUAUUUGUAUACUACCCAAAAAUGUGAGAACGUUCUCACAUUUUUGGAUAGCAUUCUUCAAAAUGCUAUUCAUUUACUCAUCUAUUAAACAAAUAUAUAGUCACAUUCUACAAUGUACUUGGAACUAUGGUAGCUGCUGGGAAUAUAAUGAGGAAUAAGAUGUGGUCCCCACACUCAAGCAGAUUUUCCUCCAGUAAAAAAAGAUGGGGUUGGGCGUGGUGGCUCACUCUUGUAAUCCCAGCACUUUGGGAGGCCAAGGCAGGCAGAUCACCUGAGGUCAGGAGUUCAAGACUAGCCUGGCCCACAUGGUGAAAGCCCUUCCCUACUAAAAACACAAAAUUAGCUGGGUAUGGUGGCACAUGCCUGUAAUUCCAGCUGAGGCCAGAGAAUCGCUUGAACCCGGGAGGCAGAGGUUGCAAUGAGCCAAGAUUGCACCACUGCACUCCAACCUGGGCAGCAAAGUAAGACUCGUAUCAAAAACAACAACAGCAACAACAAAAAGAUGGAAAAGUAAACAGCCAAGUACAAUACAGCGUGAUGAGUUCAUUGAUUAGGUAUGCACAGAGGGUGCCACAUAGGAGUGUACCCACAAGGAGGAAUAACACUGAGUCUUGGGGUGUUGCGGACCAGAGGAAGAAAGAACGAGUUAGUAAGGCAAGGGUAGAAAUGGGAAGUGUGUGGGGGUGGGUGCACAUGGAUAUAUGCACAAUAUGUGUGUGCAUGCAAACUUGUUCUCUUUUUUUACUUCUAUAUGUGUGGAUUUUGAGGGAAGCUGGUUUCAGGCAGAGAGCUACAUGUGCAGAAGCCCAGGAGUUAGGAAGAAAUGGUGACUUAGGAAAGUGGCAAGUAGUUCUUUGUAAAUAGAGCUUAAAUGUGGGGAGCAAGAAAAGGUUAGAGAUUGAAGCAGGGGCCCUUGAGCAUUUGGAUUUUGUUUUUGUGGUAAUCAAAAGUUAUUGAAGGCUUUUAGUGGGGGAAUCAGGUUUUCCUUUUUGGAAAUAUUACUUUGUCUGCAAUGUGGAUGAAAGAAUUGAAGCAGCAAAGCUGAAGGCAGGAAGACCAGCUCUGAGACAGUUUCAGAAACUCAGAUGAAAGAUAAUGGAAUUUUGCAUGAAGUGGUGUCAGUGAGGAUGGAGGAGCUGCCCUUGGCACCCGCAAGCAGAUAGUCCAAGCAGAUCUGUCCCCAAGGCAGAUACAGGCUGCCUUCCUCUAUUCUCUCACUGAAUACAAUACGUAUUGUUUGCAUUUAUCAUGAUCUGUUAUAAUUGUUUGCUUGCAUGUCUUUCCCACUGGACAGUAACUUCCUUGAAGUGAAUAAGUGCUGAUUUCCAUCUUGCAUCUAGUUUCUCAGAGCUCUACCCGAUACCUGGCAGUUUCUUCAAUGUUUGUUGAAGGAGAAACAUGCAUCCCUUAAACGUUUCACCCAUUUUCCUAGUUCUACCACUUGGCAACUGUAAGACACAUAUUUAAACCCACUUUCUAUUUAUUUUAUUUUAUUUGUUUGAGACAGAGUCUUACUCAGUUGUCCAGGCUGGAGUGGAGUGGAACAAUCUUGGCUCGCUGCAACCUCUGCGUCCCAGGUUCAAGUGAUUCUCCUGCCUCAGCCUCCCAAGUAGCUGGGAUUACAGCUUUUGUAUUUUUAGUAGAGACAAGAUUUCACCAUGUUGGCCCGGCUGGUCUCAAACUCCAGACCUCAAGUGAUCCACCCGCCUUGGCAUCCCAAAGUGCUGGGAUUACAGACGUGAGCCACCACGCUCAGCCUCAGCCUCCACUUUCUGUUUAAAGUCUCUUCAGAGCUCCCCUUUCCACUUCCAGGGUCAACGACUUAAUCCUUUCAACAGUUCUUUGUCUGACUUAGUUUUGAAUCCUUCAUAAUCCUACUUCCAGUUUACCAACUUAUACCAAACUCCCAGGACAGUGCACUUGAUUUCUGGUAUCUUGGAAGAUACAAGCCAAGCUCCAGAAGUCCUUGUGUCUAUCACUCGCUGCGGUCAGCUGCCACACCAAUUCUUUGGUGUGGCUAGGCAAGAACCUUACGUGUUACAUUUUGGCGAGCCAGCCAGGAGUCUCCAGGAAAGGCAUCUAGAUCGUCACAUGCUUCUUCCCUCCAGGUAAAUUGCAGACGUGAUGCUCAGAAUUAAACUGUCAGGAUGCUGCCAUUCUGCUGCAUGCUCCGGACAGCUGGCCGUUAGGGAGCACUGCAGGCUUGGAAGAGGUGACUUGUCUCCCUGUGUACAGCCCUCUGGGUAGAGCAGCUGUCAUCUAAAUACAGAUGCUGAUCUCCAAAAGAAGUUCCAGUUUGGUUACAGAGAGUUACAGCAUAGUGAAACUUCAAGAACUAGGUUUUUCUGGACCAUCCCAGUGCGCAUGAAUCAGAUUUAAAAAGAAAGAAACAUACAAGAAAUACAUAAAUCAUACUAUAUGACGAUAGCCCAGAAGAUUGCAUGGAGGAUCUUUGUGUUUCCUGUAGAAGAAAAGAAAAAUGGAAUUUCCAUCUCUUGCAUCAGCACUUGACAGCUGGAGUUAUUGUUGACCAGGCAUCAAGAAAGGAGGGAUAUGCAUCAGAAAUCAUUUUGCCUGAAAUAAGCACAACUCCAUGGAGGACAAUGACACAUUUUCUCUGGUGAUCUUGUAAUUGGGGAUGAUGUAAACAUGAGUCUAAUCUGCAUUUUGUCUAAGAAAUUCUUCAUCAUGAGCAUCUUCCAAUAAAACGUGGUUCCUUACAACAUGAGUUUGCAUGACAACUUCUUACCACUUACUUCAUGUCACACUUAUAUAAUGGAGACUCAUGUCUCAAUGAACGCUUUCCAGAUAAACAGAAGCACUUCUCCAAGAGUAAUAAACACCUG
rnacentral:lncRNA from 1 species